GGAAGGAUCAUUAUUGAUUGCGAAUCGUUGUCUUCAGUGCUGGCCAGCUCUGGCAAGUGCACGUUGGCGGCUUUUCAUCCAAUACCCCUGUGAACCUUUGGCCUCUUGCUGGCUUUGGCUGGCAGAGGAUUUUUUACACCCGCUCGAAUGUAAUGAAAUUAUUGUUGUGCGCAAGCACUACUGUACAACUUUCAACAACGGAUCUCUUGGCUCUCGCAUCGAUGAAGAACGCAGCGAAAUGCGAUAAGUAAUGUGAAUUGCAGAAUUCAGUGAAUCAUCGAAUCUUUGAACGCACCUUGCACCCUUUGGUAUUCCGAAGGGUAUGCUCGUUUGAGUGUCAU
rnacentral:misc_RNA from 1 species